AGGUGUGCAACCAUCCAGAGAGCUGUCGGGAUGCAGCAGAGCGGAGCGGGUGGAGGCCGUGGCUGCGCUCUGCUGCCACUGCUGGGCGUCCUGCUCUUCCAGGGCGUUUACAUCGCCCUUUCCUUGGAGAUUAAAGCGGAUGCGCAUGUCCGGGGUUACGUUGGAGAGAAGAUCAAGUUGAAAUGCACCUUCAGGUCGACUUCAUCUAUCACUGACAAACUCACCAUAGACUGGACGUACCGACCCCCCAGCAGCAGUCGUACUGAAUCCAUUUUUCAUUAUCAGUCUUUCCAGUAUCCAACCACAGCAGGCACGUUUCGGGAUCGAAUUUCCUGGGCUGGAGAUGUGUACAGAGGGGAUGCGUCUAUAAGCAUCAGCAACCCUACCCUCAAGGACAAUGGGACAUUCAGCUGUGCCGUGAAGAAUCCCCCAGACGUGCACCAUAACAUUCCCGUGACAGAGCUAACAGUCACAGAGAGGGGGUUUGGCAUCAUGCUCUCCUCUGUGGCCCUCCUCUCCGUCCUUGUCUUCGUCCCCUCAGCUGUGGUGGUUGUCCUGCUGCUGGUGAGGAUGGGGAGGAAAUCAGCUGGGCUGAAGAAGAGGAACAAGUCUGGCUACAAGAAGUCGUCUAUUGAGGUGUCAGAUGAGCCAAGUUUAGUUCUGCCGAGGAGUACCAGAGGGAAGGUUGGAGGUGAAACUGGUGGAUAUUAAUUCGGAGAGAGAGGUGGAGGGGUGAACAGUAUGGUCCUACUCUCUCCUUUGGAAAUCAGAGUAGACUCUGCUAUGGUUCUGCGUAUACAUCCCCAAGGAGAUCACAUUCCUUCCAACUUACCAGGAAAUUCCAACAAGUCGGUUAUUUUUCCCUUCUUGUUUCGACACCAAGCUGAUGUCUCCUGACAGAAAAUGCCUAAGCAGUGAGGAAGGCCUUAAGAAUAAUAGCCUCAGACGGCAAAAACCGAUUUAAAGCAGCAAGAUCUGUUCUUGGUCAGCAGAUGCUCUGAGGGGCUAAUGGGAUUGUGAUUAUCCAAUCACAUUUAUGAAACGUCAUGUUGCCAGUGAGCAGGCAUGAUCCAGUAUUUUCUCUAAGAAUAAAUCUGCUUAAAAAAAGCACUGACCAGGAGGAGGCGGACGACUGCAUGGCGAGGCUUUGUGUUCGUUGCGCCGAGUGCCUGGAUUCAGACUAUGAAGAGACAUAUUGAUGAAAGGCUUCAUGAUGUAAGGAGAGUCACCUGAUAGAAAAUAUCCUGUCCCACUGGCAGCUAAAGCCUCUCAGAGAAUCGAAGCUGCUUGGAUCGCUGUGCCGGAGGAUUCUGGAAGCCAUCCGUAGAGACGUUAGGAACCAUUUAUUUAUUGAACAACUGUUCUUUUUAUAUUUAUGAACUGUUCAAGAACUCCCAGAAGAAACUCCUACCUACCCCUUCUAAUAACUUAUGCUCUAAUUGAAUGAAGGAAUUCUCUUCCUGAAUAGAAAGAAACUUUUUGUUUUUGCCUUUGCCCUUGAACGUGUUACGUGCUUUCUUCUGGUUACUUGAGGGAAAAUCCUAAAUGUUGGCCACACCGCUGAGGCCAAAAUAUUUUUAAAAAAUGAAAUGGAGCUUGUAGUGUCCAGAUGUGCGACGAGACGAGAUGUUUGGGAUAAGUAUUCUUUGGCAUUUGCUCCGUGAAUGUUUUCAGCUGCGGAUCAGCGCACAGCAUGUACUCAUUGGUUUAAUGACAUCGUCCGUUGUGUUUGGGUGACUCGGAACUCUAAUUUCCGUAGAGUCGGUAGGGCCCGGAGCCCAUGGUUUGCUUUGACUGGGCUUUUAAAGUAUUAAAGUGUCGUCAGUGUCCAAUUAAGGAAAGGAACGGUGACGUAGAGGGACCCCUUUCUUUUGUGUUGCUAGGUGCAGCUUCGAAAGGUUUUUUUUUGUGGCGAAAUGUAUAGAAUAUUUUAUCAGUUAUUUGCAAGGAAAUCAUCUUUUUUUUUUUUUUUUUUUAACAAAUGCCACUCCAGAGUUCAAAUGUUGGAUUUACUUUAACGAGGCUUAUGUUUAUCGGAAAUCAUCUUUUGACCUUUGUUAUUCUUCAGAACUUUUUUGAGUUCUAAAAUGCGCCAAAUAUGAGUGAACCAAGGCAUUUGCAAACUGUUUUUGUUUAUGUCGUAUUUGACAUAAGGAAGUGAGGUCUAUACUUCUCUAUAGUCUAUACUUCUCAUUUCUAUUCUCUCAGUACCUUAUGUCAGCUUCCUCCAUUUUCCUGCAGCAACUGAUUUCAAAUUUUAAUUUACAUGGGAUUUUCUACAAGCCAUUAAGUAAUACGUGUGACAUGUCCGGAAGGGCUGAUAGUAUAGUCUUCUGUAAAAGAGCGAUAGAGUUCACUUCUCGAUUAUGAGAGACAGAAAUUAUCCUCCCUCCUCCCAUCUUUGUUUUUUGUUUUGUUUUGUUUUGUUUUCCCAUGGUUCUUCACUAGGUGGCUAGGGAGGUUUCCAUAUUAUAGCCUAAUACGCCCCAUAUGUUACACAAAAAAUCACUUUGCCCAGAUUUAUGUUUAAAAUUUUGGGUCAUUAGUUCUGGAAGUCAUCAGUAAAGCCUUUAAGAAUUAUGAUAUGGGUUUGGCCUGGCCUCUUUUGUUAAUCUAGUCCAUACAUAAGAGAGUCUGGUUCAUUAACAGAUAUUACGAUUUACCUCUGGUCACAUAAGGAAGUGAAAGAGGCAAAGACACAUUGACUGUUUAUUUCCAGUGGUUGAGCCUCAGAGUCUUGGGCUGUUUGUCAAGUAUAUGGUUGUCUGGGGCCAGCCUGGUGACAGACACUCUGACACCACAGCAGAGAGGGGAAAACAUAUUUGAGCAACAAGAGUAAAUAAUUUGGGUUCUGGGAGAUUUGAAGAUAGAGACCCAAUUGUGGGGUAGACUUUUUGUGGGUCUGAGAAAGAGAUGAUGUGACAGGAACCCAGUUAAAACCGCAUUUCAUGAAUUGAGGAACCGGGUUUGCCUGGGGUUUCUUGUAAUUUCCUUUCAGGUGUGUUAUGAGGAUUAAUCCAGUUGUAGUAAGCUUGUCACUGUAGGUAAAGGGUGCUGUGUGACCACUUGGUCAUGUUAUUUUGUAGCCUCGAUUGUGAUUUGAACAAGUCCCUUUCUUUUUAAGUGACCAAACAACAGCAUCCUUCGUGGUAAGAGAGUAGACUGGGGAUUUAGUCGUCUCCGUGGGUUUAUGGUCGCACCAGUCAUAAGGCUUCUGUCAGCGUUCUUCUUUAUCUCUUACAUUGAGGUCUGGGUUACAGCCUUCCCCCCACCCCCAAAAGGAGCAAAAAGCAGUUCCUUUUUUUUUUAAAGAUGGAAGAAAGAUAACUUUUUUUUUUUAAACGUACUCUUUUUAAUACCUUCUAAGGUGCUAUUCUCCCUCUCUCUCGUUUUCUUUUCGCUGCUCUGUAUGCAGAGCACAUCGAAUGAAGACCAGCCUUGUCUAGAAAGGGAAUUGAAUUCUGAAAGCUUCAGAGGGGGUUAAAAGCCUUUCAGAAUUUUUCUUUAGCUGCCGGAGGCUUUCCUCGUGGCUGCACUAUCUUACAAGUUUCGUGCAUUGAGCUCUCAAUUCCGUUAGCGAAUGUGAAUUUAUGAAAUGCUUUGUGUUUCCCACGGGUCCCCUUGCCCCAGGCUGCGUGGAGAAGGUACUAGGUCUCCGCAACUCCCAAAUCGUGCGCUGGUGUUUCAAGAGGGAAUGUUGAAUGUUCCUGUUUAAGGAGAAUGUCCGGAGGCCAAAUCCUCGAUCUGAACGUUCUGUCGUGUCACUCAGUUACGGUUCUAAAAGGGAGCCGGGAAGACCCCCGGAGAGCGGACCAAGACUGUCAUUUAAUUGCACAACUGGAAACUUCGCUGCCAGAAGAGGCAUCUCCAUUCGUUCGAUUCCUGCUUUGGACUGUUGUUAACCGCUGCAUUUCACAGUGGUUUUUUUUGUUGUUUUGUUUUGUUUUGCGGGAGAGUGUGCACCGUUGGGCCAUGUGCACAGACGUUGUACCUCUUGAUACCUUUACCACAUCACAGUUAAUAAACUGCUUUGCACUUUCUGGCUA